UACGAAGGGGGCUAGCGUUGUUCGGAAUUACUGGGCGUAAAGGGCGCGUAGGCGGUGUGUCAAGUCAGGCGUGAAAGCCCCGGGCUCAACCUGGGAACCGCGCUUGAGACUGGCACGCUAGAGUUCGGGAGAGGAUGGUGGAAUUCCCAGUGUAGAGGUGAAAUUCGUAGAUAUUGGGAAGAACACCGAUGGCGAAGGCAGCCAUCUGGACCGACACUGACGCUGAGGCGCGAAAGCUAGGGGAGCAAACGGG
rnacentral:rRNA from 1 species